UUCAACAGGCACCAACCAUACCUCUCCCCACAGGCCUGCUCUUCCCUAGGUGCUGCAACCCUGUUCUGCAGGGCUGAAACAGCACCAGCCCUUUCCUCUGGGAACAGCGGAACAGGGUAAAAACCACUGGGUGACAGCGUUGCCUUAGGAUGCAAACAUACAGAUCUUUCCAUGUGCGAGCAAAUAAAAGUCAGAGCACUGAGCACCAAGCAAGCACCUGCAUGAGCAUCCCUCUCUCACCGCCCGCAGGCAGCAGCAGCAGAGAAGGAAAGUCAGAGGACGGAGGCGCGACCCCUCCACCGCCGAGAGGGGCAGGAAUGCUUUCGGAAGACUCAAGCACUACCACCGGCGCGAUUACCACCUCUCGGCCGUCUCCAGCUCCGUGUUCCCAGGCGCAUUCGCAGGCUGCAAUAACCGGGCUUUCCAAAGAUGUAAAUCAGUUUGUGCCAAAUACCCAUUUGAUGGUUUGCCAGUGGAGCUGAAGGAGUGAGAAACGGUUACCUGUGAUGAUUGCGGGGUCCAUCCAGCUGCCAGGGCUGUCCCAAUUCAGGCUGUCGGUGGUGGCAGUGUUGGACGUUGGUACACUGUGGUUGGCGUUGGAGGGGGAAGAAGCAUUGGGCAGUCCACCAAAGUUGAUGUUAAUGUUCGGUAGAAGUGCCCUUAGCCCGUCCUGCCAUUCCUUCAUAUUUAAACUCUCUACAGAACUGCUGUUGUCUGGGAGAUUUACCAACAAAAAAAAAAUGAAAGAUAAAAAAAAUAAAAAGCUGAAGUUAGAAACAGAUGUUCUUCUUUGGUGGGGUAUGGGAUUUUGCUUUUACUUUUUAAGCUAAGCAUUAAAUACUUUCUCUGUCCAAAACCUAGGGUCAGUGUUUCCAUGACUGAUGAAUUACUCAGAGGGGCUGGCAGGUUUUAAACAAAGUGUAAGGGAAUGGGAGAAAGAUAUAACUCCUCCCCCAAUAUGUAUUUUCCCAUAUUGAUUCAGAGACUCAAAUAAUCAAGGACACAGUGGCUCUCGCUCUAUUACUAAGAGGGGAAAAUCUAGCAGGUACUUGAUGAGAAUACUUCUGCUGCAAUUUGGCUGCUUUACUGAUGGGCAGCAGGCUCAAAAGGGUUAUGCGUAUCAAAAUGAAGAAAGGCUAAGUAGGGCUUUGCAAUAGAAAUGGAACGUGAGAAACCAGGGAGGCUGAGGAAAAUCACAGAUGUCUUUUGUUUUGGUAUAGCUUGCUCAUUCACAGCCCUAGAGACGUUCUUCUGAAGGAAAUGGUAAUGAAGUUGGAGGGAGUGAAAUUUCCUCUUGCAGUUGAAGAACAGUAGAGAAAAUUCUUUAAAGACCUGUCAGAAUAAUUUCUGACACAGCAGUAUCCUCAAAACUUUGGUAACAAGCAAACCAGCCGGACACCAAAGCAGUCAAGUCUCAACUAUUUGCCUGAACGUUUCAAGACAUAUUGAUAAAGGACAACAGGAUAAUGUGGCUAUUAGCACUACAGCAAAUGAUCCCUCGACACAAAAGUCACACCAUGAUAUCUAGAACAGACUAUCCGGUUCUGUGAUCCAUCUCUCGCUUUAAGUAUCUCAAAUAAGGACAAACCAGACAUGAGCACUCCAGCUCCUGUAUCCAAUACAGCACGUCAUACUUCAUUAGCUUGUGGUCAGUUAUAUUUGGAAAGGAAGUGUUAGGCACUAUGUUGCCACAUGCCUGUCUUUUCGACAAAUCUCUAGAAUACCCUUUUUAUUUUUUUUUCAAACAUCUCUGCCUGUCCUGAUUGAAUAAAGAACCCCAACCUCAAUCAGAAUUGUUAUAAAGAGAUACUUUCAUAACACUGCUACUUCAUCAAGAAUAUAACAUAUUUAAGUCUUCCUGGAAAAUUAGAGGAUAUCACUAACUCACAACCUGAUUUUGAAGAGUAAAGAAAGCAGUCUUAAUUGCUAUCAAAACCUGCCCUGGCAGUUUUUGUAAAGCUGAACGUUCAGGAAAAAAUAGUGUCCUGAGCAAUUACCUUUUUGUAACUAGAGGGGAAGAAAAAACCCCCAAAACCAAACAAGACAAGUACCUGAAAUACUGUCCUUUCACAGCUCCUCCUUUUUCCUUUGCAAUACUAAUGCACAAAAUAAAUGUUUUUAAAUAAUUCAGUGCCACAUGUUU